rnacentral:rRNA from 1 species
AUUGAACGCUGGCGGCAUGCUUUACACAUGCAAGUCGAACGGUAACAGGUUAAGCUGACGAGUGGCGAACGGGUGAGUAAUGCAUCGGAACGUGCCCGAUCGUGGGGGAUAACGCAGCGAAAGCUGCGCUAAUACCGCAUACGAUCUGAGGAUGAAAGCGGGGGACCGUAAGGCCUCGCGCGAUCGGAGCGGCCGAUGUCAGAUUAGGUAGUUGGUGGGGUAAAGGCCCACCAAGCCGACGAUCUGUAGCUGGUCUGAGAGGACGACCAGCCACACUGGGACCGAGACACGGCCCAGACUCCUACGGGAGGCAGCAGUGGGGAAUUUUGGACAAUGGGCGAAAGCCUGAUCCAGCAAUGCCGCGUGCAGGAAGAAGGCCUUCGGGUUGUAAACUGCUUUUGUACGGAGCGAAAAGGUCCUUUCUAAUACAGGGGGCUCAUGACGGUACCGUAAGAAUAAGCACCGGCUAACUACGUGCCAGCAGCCGCAGUAA